rnacentral:ncRNA from 1 species
UUUCUGCACUGGGGGUGCAUGUUUUGCUGAGAUGAGAGCUUUCGCUCCGAUCCCUUAUGACUCGAUCAGGUUAGGACCUGCGUGAGGAAGUGCGGUGACUUUCCG